CACGUAGGGCGCAAGCGUUGUCCGGAAUUAUUGGGCGUAAAGAGCUCGUAGGCGGUCUGUUGCGUCCGCUGUGAAAACUCGGGGCUUAACCCCGAGCCUGCAGUGGAUACGGGCAGACUAGAGGUAGGUAGGGGAGAAUGGAAUUCCCGGUGUAGCGGUGAAAUGCGCAGAUAUCGGGAGGAACACCGGUGGCGAAGGCGACUACCUGGCCCAUUCUUGACGCUGAGGCGCGAAAGCUAGGGGAGCGAACGGG
rnacentral:rRNA from 1 species